UUUUGUAACGCAGCACUCUUCUUUUCUUCAAUUUACAUAUAUGUAUGAUGCGAAAUGUUAAUUUAUUGUCUUUGUGAAUAACCAUGUUUUGUAAUGGAGUGUACCUUGGACGCCUUAUGAUCGACGUGCCAAUUAAAGUUAAUUAUAAUACAAUUCAAUUGAACAUAUAACACAUAAUAUGAUAUUUUAUAAUAAGCUUAUGAUGUUAUAAUUUGUUAUUAAAUAAAUUAAACCUAGGCUUGAUCUUAACAUUUAUAUAUUUUUCGUUUGAUUGAAUUUGUAUUUGGACAGUAAAGAAGAAUGGAAUCAGCCCAAUAUUCAAUGUAAUGAAUUUGGUAAUUAGCACAAUUCUGACUCCAAUGAAUUCGAUAAUUAAUUAAUUAGUGCAAUCUUAUCAUUAAAUAAAGGACCUAAAAUUAGAAAGAAACCUUAGGCAUUCCUUUACUAAAAAUGAAUUCCGUGUUUCUUGUAAUUGCAAGAAUAUUUCAACACACGAAGAAAAUAUAUAACAAAGUUCUUUCCACCCACUUUUGAUUUACGUUCUUGGAAUUCUUGGAUGUCAUUUCAAGCAUCUUGUUAAUGUACUAAAUUUAUUUUGAAAUGAUUUUGGUGAUUUAUGUUAUAUCUUAUAAUAUAAAUAAAUGGGCACGUGCUUUUGUUAAAUAAUAGAUAUCACUACAUAUUUAAAAAUGAAUUAAAUUAUGCGUUUGAAGGGGGGGGGGGGGGGGUUGGUUUGUGUUACAUGCAUGAAUUUUAUGUAUAAACUAGUUUGUUGCCCGUGCAGUGCACGGGCAGAGUUAUUUUGAAGGUAAAAUUAGUAUUCAAUGAGGUAAGGAAAAUGAACUUAAUUUAAUGUGGUCAAUUUACAUAUGAUUUUACUCUUUGAAAAAUAGAGAUGAAGCAUUUAAGGUGCAUGAAGAAAUGAGAAGACAUAAUGGAAUUAAAAUGAGGAACUUACCCAGUCGCGUCUUAUAUGAAUUAUUGCGUCAACGUGUUGGGCCUUUGUGCUAUUCCAUUGGAUGUUAUUGUAAACCUUAGUAAGGUCCAAAGGAGCAGUCAAAGGGUAAUAAUAGUAUAUCUGGAGAGAGAGUUUAAAUUUUGAGAAUCUAAACUCGAUAAUAUUGGCAUAUGAAAUGUGAAGAUCUAUCGUAUACGAUAAUGGCAAUCCAACAUGUGCAUGCAACUUGGAAAAUGGUUUAAAGAAAAGUAAGAGAAGAUCAUAUUCGGGAGUUUAUUUCUAUAUAUGGAAUGUCGCCAUUUCCUAGAUAAUUAUUGAUAGGGAUAUUUCUCAACAUAUUAAAAGAAGUUUUUUUUAUAUUUGUUGUAAUUAUGAUCAUCAUAUUGGAUCGGCUGUUUACUUUGGUGACUUCAACCCAAUUUUUUUUUCGCAUAACUAAGUAAUAAAAUAAGUUUACUUUGAUUACCAAUUUUAAAAUCACCUAAAACCCAAGCCAAAUCCCUGAUUUAUUU
rnacentral:lncRNA from 1 species